rnacentral:rRNA from 1 species
AAUGAACGUUGGCGGCGUGGAUUAGGCAUGCAAGUCGAACGGGCCCAGCAAUGGGUCAGUGGCGGAAGGGUGAGUAAGGCGACGGCAACCAACCCCGAAAAUGGGUACAGCCGCGGGAAACUGCGGGUAAUGCCCAGCGAUGCGACAGCGUCGGCAUCGACGCUUCGCCAAAGGAUUCGUCCGUUUCGGGACGGGCCGUCGUGGUAUUAGGUAGUUGGCGGGGUAACGGCCCACCAAGCCUUCGAUGCCUACCGGGCGUGCGAGCGCGGCCCGGCACACUGGGACUGAGACACUGCCCAGACUCUUACGGGAGGCUGCAGUCGAGAAUCUUCGGCAAUGGGCGCAAGCCUGACCGAGCGACGCCGCGUGGAGGACGAAGGCCUUCGGGUUGUAAACUCCUGUCGAGGGGGAGGAAGGUAUCGCAAGAUGCUUGACCGAUCCCUGGAGGAAGCACGGGCUAAGUUCGUGCCAGCCGCCGCGGUAACAC